rnacentral:rRNA from 1 species
GUGCCAGCCGCCGCGGUAAUACGUAGGGGGCGAGCGUUGUCCGGAAUUACUGGGCGUAAAGGGUACGCAGGCGGUCAUGUAAGUCAGAUGUGAAAUCCUAAGGCUUAACCUUAGUAAGCAUUUGAAACUGCGUGGCUUGAGUUAAGGAGAGGAAAGUGGAAUUCCUGGUGUAGCGGUGAAAUGCGUAGAUAUCAGGAGGAAUACCAGUGGCGAAGGCGACUUUCUGGCCUUAAACUGACGCUGAGGUACGAAAGCGUGGGGAGCAAACAGGAUUAGAUACCCUGGUAGUCCACGCUGUAAACGAUGAGUGCUAGGUGUCGGGUGUCAAAGCUCGGUGCCGCAGUAAACACAUUAAGCACUCCGCCUGGGGAGUACGUUCGCAAGAAUGAAACUCAAAUAAAUUGACGG